GGAAAAUGGGAAGUUGCUAUAUGUGGGAUUCUCGGAAGCAGAGGAAAAUAAAUUAUUAGAGCUGAGAGAUGAGGUGGAAGGCGGAGUGUGUUCAGGGCCAUUUAACCAGCUGCUCACUCACUGUGGCCCUCAGUCUUCACCUCGUCCUCGAGCCAUCAAUGAGUUAAGGACAUCGUCACAAUGAGAACUGUGUUGAUUGUGUUUCUGUUGGCAACUGUGUUGCUGGCAGCUGCUGCCCCUCAAGCAACUAAUACGUCUGCAACAACCGGGCAACAAGGUAGUCCAGAUGUCAGUGGCACAGUGAUGGACAUUAAUUUCCCACCACCAAUUAACGUAAAAUUAGUCAGCAAAUGAUACACAGGUGAGUAACAACAGCACUUCACCUGACACAGGUGAGUAACAACAGCACUUCACCUGACACAGGUGAGUAACAACAGCACUUCACCUGACACAGGUGAGUAACAACAGUACUUCACCUGACACACAGGUGAGUAACAACAACACUUCACUUGACACAGGUGAGUAACAACAGCAC